rnacentral:rRNA from 1 species
AAACGAUAAACAGACCACCUGGGUAGUACGGUCGCAAGGCUGAAACUUAAAGGAAUUGACGGGGGAGCACCACAACCGGUGGAGACUGCGGUUUAAUUAGAUCAAACGCAGAGUACCCUACCAGAGCCGACAGCAAGAUGACGGUCAGCUUGAAGAGCUUACCUGAUGCGCUGAGAGGAGCUGCAUGGCCGCCGUCAGCUCGUGCCGUGAGGUGUCCGGUUAAGUCCGGUAACGAGCGAGACCCACACUCUAUGUUGCAAAGGAACCUUUCGAGGUUUCUGCACUCGUAGAGGACCGCUGGUGAUAAACCAGGGGAAGGAGUGGGCCACGGUAGGUCAGUAUGGCCCGAAUGCUCUGGGAUACACGCGGUCUACAAUGGCCGGAACAAAGGGAUGCGACUCCGAGAGGAGAAGCUAACCCCCUAAAUCCGGUCUUGGUACGGAUCGAGGACUGCAACUCGUUCUCGUGAAGGCGAAAUCGGUAGUAGUCGCUGAUCAUCAUUCAGCGGCGAAUAAGUCCCUGCUCCUUGUACACACUGCCUGUCAAGUCACCCGAGUCAGGUUCAGACGAGCUUCACCAUUUGGUGAGUCGAGUCUGAGCUUGGCAAGGGGGGCUAAGUCGUAACAAGGUAGCCGUA